GCAGGAGUGGCGGAAUUGGCAGACGCGCACGGUUCAGGUCCGUGUGGUGGUAACACCUUGAGGGUUCAAGUCCCUUCUCCUGCA
rnacentral:tRNA from 1 species